UAUUAAAUGUUCUCUGUGACUCCAGUGUUUCUGCAUGUGAGCUACUUCUUAUUACAGAAAAAUUACACGCAACAGGAGAGAAAAUAACUAUUUCUAGCUAAUCAAAACCUACUCAAGCUACCAGAAUUUCUAAGUGCUCCCAACUGUGAUGUUCAACAUGUCAUGAACCAUAGUGCCCACCACGGCACUUGCACUGUCUGUCACCUGAACAAUCAAAGAGUUGGAAUUAUUUUGACCCAUAACUGUUUCUCCUUUGGAAAUGGCGAGGUCAUGUGCUGAAAUACCUUUCAAGCAUCACCGAACAUAAUCACUUAUCUCAUGAGUUGCUCCUCAAGAUCUUUUGUUGAGUACUGCUGAUGUCCACAGCAAGAUGUUUUUUUUCUUGAGAAUGCACAAAACUUCCUGGUCAAUGCAAAGUAUUCUGCCUGAAUCACAGAAUCUUAGAAUCAUAGGAUGAGAAAGUUUGGAAAAGACUUCCAGGAUCAUCCAGUCCAACUUUACUCCAACCACCAAUAUUUCCCCACUAAACCAUGUACCUCAGUGCAACAUCUAAAAGUUCCUUGAACAUCUCCAGGGGUAGUGACUCAGCCACAUUCCCGGGCAGCCUAUUCCAGUGCCUGAUCACUCUUUCAGAGGAUACUUUUUUCCUAGUAUCCAACCCGAACCUCCCCUGGCUCAGCUUGAGGCCAUUUCCUCUCAUCCUAUUGCUAAUUAUGUGGGAGAAGAGACUGAACCCAACCUCACCUCAACCUCCUUCCAGGAGUUGUAGAGAAUCCUAAGGUCUCCCCUGAGCCUCCUCUUCUCCAGAAGAUCCUCUUGUCAGAUGCAUGUUAUUUUUUUAUACUUACCAUUGAUCAGUCUGUCUCCUGCAGUAGCAUAAGUUGCAUCUUUUCUCUCCUAUUGAUUAAGAAUAUACCUCCCUGACUGUAUCAGAAUUUCUCUUUUACAGAACUCUCUUCUUGCCUUGCUCCUCCUUCAUACUUCCAUAUAGUUCCUUACUGUAAGUUGCUGUGCUGUAUGUGAAUAUGUUGAUUUGACUACUCAUAAUCUCAAAGGAAAUUUCUAUAAGCUCCUGGGAAAUUCACCAAGAAAAAAAUAGCCUUAUUUCAGGUAACUGCACUAAGCAUUUUUAAGUCAUUCAUCUGGAGUUCAUUAAGUGGAAGGAACUUCCCCAAGUCGACUUCUGUCUCCCAGAAAUGAGCCUGAGUAAACUUAUUCAUUCCUUGAUAGCAGGAGUAGAAUGCUGAUUCAGGUGUCUCAAACUUGAAAUUUGGGAUUACCUGUUAGUCAAAAUGAUAUGUAUCUAUCCUGCCUGUAAGUAUGCCAGGAGGUCAAAUGUUAUACUACAGUCCAUACAUCAUUGGAUCCUUCUAAUUUUGUGAACAACAACUGAGACCUAAUAAUGAGACUCUUUUCUUUAUCAUUUUCUUUUAACUAAGUUAAAUAAAGAAUUUUAAACAUCUGUGUACCAGAACAACAAGCAAGUGCAUCACAGAUACAGAAAGUAAUUGGAACAUAUUCUCCAAAUGAGGCAUUACAGACAUUAUAGACUCUGUUAACAUUAUCUAUCAUUUGUGAUAGGAUGUUCUUCAAGGUGUGAGGGAUUUUAAGAAAAGCAGAUGAGCCCAGAGGGUCUCAUACAUUUCUUCUUGUCUAAACUUCCUAAAUCUGUCAGUCAGACUGUGAAAAUGUAGCUCCCAACGUGCAAGGAAAAAACCGUUCCUUCCUUUUUACAUAUUGUUGCUAGAGUUGAUGGGACAUCUGUGGGCUCUAGUGGGUAAGAGUGUGACUUAAAGAAAGCAGGACAUUUACGUCAGAUAAUUAGUUUUUGAGUUGUGUAGAAAUGACCUAAGAUGAAGCAUCAAGAAUAUAUGGCAGUAAUCUCCAGUACUGCGCUCCCCAGUAGUCAAUGUGCUCUUAGACUCUUACAAGGUUUGCAGUUUAUGAAAAACAUUUAAGUGUUUCUGUUACACAUUUUGGUUGCCAUGUUACCUUGGCUUCCAUCAGACUGCAACAAACCCAAAACACCUCCUUACAUACUUGCUUUAUGACAUUUUAUUAGAAUGCCAAUAUAACAGUUUUAUAGUAAAUGUAGGAUAUGGCAGGAGACUAAAAUAACACCAUAUUCUCUGAACACUUUAAUCUAGGUUUAAUAAUUUUAGGGUUUUUAGACAUUUGUAACUUAACCUGUGGGCAUAAUCUAGUAGUAACAGUGCUUGAGAGAAGUUAUGAGCACUGCACUCUGAGAUUACAGUGGCUCAAAUAACAUAGUGGUUCCAAGGGAAACUAAAUCUUUUUAAAACCCCUCAAACAUCAGUUUAAACUGUUAACUUUAAUUUUAUUUUAAAUUCAUGUUAGAGUAAUUGCAUCAAGCUGGGAUUAUGUGCUUUCUCUGAUUCUGUUUUAAAGCACUUCUGCCUAUUUUAACCAUUUCUUGUACAGGCAACUCUCACUUUUUGGGAGCUUCUCCCUCACUGAGUGUAUUCACUUUAAGUGAUAUCUUUUUCAAGUGAUGAGAGCUUUGAUAUAUAAUAAUUGGUGGCAUGUGUGAUUUAUGCUUUCUCAAAAGAUGGGUGUAAUACUUACUGUUGGUAAAGAUCAAUUUUUUUUUUUUUUUUUUGGUGGAUGGUUUUUCCAUUAAAAAUAAAUCAUAGAAUCAUUAAGGUUGGAGAAGAAUUAUAAGAUCAUUUAGUCCAACCAACCACCCAUCACCACCAUACCCACUAACCAUGCCACUAAGUACCACAUCUACAUGUUUCUUGAACACCUCAAGGGACAGUGACUCCACCACCUCCCUCAGCUUGAGGCCAUUACCUCUCAUCCGAUUACUGUUACCUGGGAAAUCAAUAUUGAACCUCAUUAUGCAGAAGAUUACUGCUUUUAACUGAUUCAGAUGUAUAUUCUUAUUAAACAUAAAGCAAGAAUGGAGAAGGAAAAAUUUUUACAAGUUUUUCGUGUCAGUGUUUGUCCAUACUGUGGUACUUAACUCUACGCACCUGAUAAGAGUUUGAUGUAGAAACUGUUGGGCAAGCACUUCUGAGAAUUACACAUCCUCCUUAGCAAAACUAUUUAUAGCUCCAGGGAACUAGAAUGGUUUUGUGAAUUACUCCAGGCCUCAAAAUAAAUCACAAAGACAACAACAACAAAACAACUCAAAAGCUCUAUUGCCUUUGUUUUACAAAAGGGAAUGCUAAGAGGAAGGCUUAAACCAAAAUUGUCACAGAAGGAGUCAACACAGAAUGUGUCCUGAUGGCUAAGCAUUUUGAGAAAAAAAAUCUCAUCUCAAAGAGAUUGAGAAGC
ensembl:lncRNA